ACAAAAGUGAGAAGGUUGGAGAUGUAUCUCAACAACUCCUCACCCAGCAGCAUCAAAGAGCUGCAGGAGAGAGCCGAGGAGAAUUUAACCAUCUUGAGAGGUUUACGGUAUUUUACCCAGUUUCAAAAGGAGAACAUUGAUACUCAGAAUGAGCAGCUCUCCAAACUGCAGAAGAUGAGUGAAGCUAUAAGAUAGUUGUUCUAAGAUUCAGCACUGAGGUCUCCCAGUCUACACAGCUUUGAAUGAGACGGGUCCACCUACAUCUCAACUCUGAAACGUCACCGCACUCCCUUCCAACCCUGAUAUGUAUACUACAGAUCUACUGUAUAGCCGGUAAAUAUUUUCUGCUAGCACCCUUAUGAUUAUGUCCUUGUUUUUGUGGCUG